UUUCAGCCACCCCUUAGGUAGCUGAAGAGCGCAGGAGCUGAAGACAGCUACCCCCAUUCGCCUUCUCGACCGCCGACGGAAAAACACCCGCCUCCGGGCCCCCAGUGACCUUGGCGACCCUCCACCAGGCUCCUCCCAUCACCCCGGCACAGCAGCCCAAAGGCAGCCAGGCCCUCUCGUCACCUCUCCCUCGGGGCUCAGGGCAGAAGAGAGGCCACCUCUUCACGCCCCAGGGCGUGCGGGGACAGUGCGGGGCAGGAAAGAARGGCUCACACAACACUUGAAACUCAGGAAUUCUUUUAUUCAUUGGCCCAUGGGGGUUGGCUGGUCUCAGUUUGCAGCCUGCAGAUGUCUCUUCCACGCAGCCCCUCACCUUGUUCUUUUGGCGGCAGGCUGGUGGCUGCGCUCUGUUUGCCGCCUGCGGAUGUCUGUUCCACGCAGCCCCUCACCUUGUUCUUUUGGUGGGGGGCUGGAGGCUGGGCCCAGCUCGAUGGCCGUGCCACUCCCUGGCUCUCCUGGCAUGCCUCUGCUGUCGUGGCUGAUGGAAAGCCAUUCCAGGUGCCGGGGGGUUUUGGCAGGCCACCUUUGCUGGCGGCGGAUCGACCUCCAUCGGCUCCACCUCAUUGUAUGCUGGAGGAUCGACCUCCAUGGGUUCCGGGUCGUCGUUGGGAGGACCAACCUCCAUGGGUCGCCGCUGUGACCUCAGGCCAAGUGGACCGACUGGACCGCCAAGCAUGUCAGCCMUUCAGUUGGCCUGAGGUCACAGCGGCGCGCUGAUGUCACAAUCCCCCUCACUGCCGGUGGCCCCUAUAAAAGCGGGAGCGCUGGCACUGGCCCAGAGCUCACUGAGGCUCUUGCUCCUGGAGCACCAACGAGAGUUGGAGCGGCAGGUGGCAACGAAGCCUCGGCGAGUUACUUGCUACCCUCUGGGUGGUAUCUUGUGAGCAUUCGCAGCUUUCUGCAGGGCACUCCUGCACAAUGAAUCAGGUGGCCCGCAGGGGAACCAAAAGGAUGAGGAUAAGGAGGAGGGAGUUCUGGCAUAAGAUCUGGGCCAUCAAGGAUUCUGUGACAUUGCCCCAAAAGGAUGACACAGAACCCAUG
rnacentral:lncRNA from 1 species